rnacentral:rRNA from 1 species
GAUGAACGCUGGCGGCGUGCCUAAUACAUGCAAGUCGAGCGAACAGACGAGGAGCUUGCUCCUCUGACGUUAGCGGCGGACGGGUGAGUAACACGUGGAUAACCUACCUAUAAGACUGGGAUAACUUCGGGAAACCGGAGCUAAUACCGGAUAAUAUAUUGAACCGCAUGGUUCAAUAGUGAAAGACGGUUUUGCUGUCACUUAUAGAUGGAUCCGCGCCGCAUUAGCUAGUUGGUAAGGUAACGGCUUACCAAGGCAACGAUGCGUAGCCGACCUGAGAGAGUGAUCGGCCACACUGGAACUGAGACACGGUCCAGACGCCUACGGGAGGCAGCAGUAGGGAAUCUUCCGCAAUGGGCGAGAGCCUGACGGAGCAACGCCGCGUGAGUGAUGAAGGUCUUCGGAUCGUAAAACUUUGUUAUUAGGGAAGAACAAAUGUGUAAGUAACUAUGCACGUCUUGACGGUAACUAAUCAGAAAGCCACGGCUAACUACGUG